CCCUGGCGCCGGCUGUGAGCCCACCCGCCAUGCGGAUCGCUUGGGAAACGCGGGUCCCGUUCUGACCUGGCCACAGUUGUUUUUAUUUGUCUGUCUGUGUCUCGAGAUCUUGAUGAUGUCCGGACUACUUCCACCCUCAUUGCCAGAAAUGGGCUGGCUUUCCCUUUGUUGUGCGAAACGACUGUGUUCUUAAGGAAUGUUUGGAGGCUCUUGGCAACCAAGAAUCACCCCGAAGCACAUCAGGUGUUAGCCCAGUGUGUUGGCAACAUUUCAACUGCAAAUUUUCUGACACCAGUUU